AUGAACGCUGGCGGCGUGCCUAAUACAUGCAAGUCGCGCGAACAGACGAGGAGCUUGCUCCUCUGACGUUAGCGGCGGACGGGUGAGUAACACGUGGAUAACCUACCUAUAAGACUGGGAUAACUUCGGGAAACCGGAGCUAAUACCGGAUAAUAUAUUGAACCGCAUGGUUCAAUAGUGAAAGACGGUUUUGCUGUCACUUAUAGAUGGAUCCGCGCCGCAUUAGCUAGUUGGUAAGGUAACGGCUUACCAAGGCAACGAUGCGUAGCCGACCUGAGAGGGUGAUCGGCCACACUGGAACUGAGACACGGUCCAGACUCCUACGGGAGGCAGAAGUAGGGAAUCUUCCGCAAUGGGCGAAAGCUUGACGGAGCAACGCCGCGUGAGUGAUGAAGGUCUUCGGAUCGUAAAACUCUGUUAUUAGGGAAGAACAAAUGUGUAAGUAACUAUGCACGUCUUGACGGUACCUAAUCAGAAAGCCACGGCUAACUACGUG
rnacentral:rRNA from 1 species